UUCAUCAAGUCGGCAUGAUUAUAUUCUUGCAGAAACCAUUGUGGUGCAGUCAGAAUUUAGCAACAUCUUGCAUUUAAAGGGGAUAUUACUACUUUCUUGGACAGCUGCCUUACUUGAAUGGGGCUGGUUCUCUUAUAUACGAGAGGGAUUGCACCAGAAUCAAAGUCUGCAGCAUAGAGUGUGUACACCGCAUAUAAUGUCAUUUUCCAGAAAGAACAUCCAAAUUAAAGAGGAAGAGUGACGGCAAAAUUUGAAGCUGACUUUAACUCUUGAGCGGCAGAGGUGUUACUUAAAGGAGAUGUAAGUAAUGGUAGAUAUUCGAAGAUUGCAUGUAAGUUUUAGCACCGAGAGCAAGAGCUGUCGGUUUAGUCGGGCUACCUCUGGAGCUGAUGGUGAAACAUGAUCAGAAAAUUAAAUUUUGAUUCUUUUUAUCUAGGUGAUAAUAUGACCUAAGUGACCAUAAAAAUUUAUACUAUUUUGCAGCCACAUACUGUCACUGGAAUGUGGCAGAGCAUCCUUUCUUUUCCCUUUAUUAUCAUAUCCACUUGGUGAAGAAAUCUCUCAUUGAUAAAAUUCAUAUAUACCAUAUUCUUUGUUUGCA